rnacentral:lncRNA from 1 species
GCAGAGCUGCGAAUCAAAUCCAGGUUUGUCUCGACAUGCCACUAGCUCAUACUUCCCUUGGAUCAGCCACUAAAUGGCUUUCACUCCAGUGAGCAGCGACCAGCACUCCUGGGGACAUCAGGGCACUCACGCUCCUUAACACUGGACAGGAGACCUGCGCAGUCAUUCUAGCACCAGAAUUAUGGAACAUUUAUCAACAGCCUAAAAUAAAGACAACACGAGGAGAAUUUGGUUGCUUAUAUAGAUUCAAGGUACAAUCCUGCUGGAUUCUGGGAUUACAGGACUGUAGACAAAAGAGAAAUCAUCAUGGACUGUUCACUGGACAAAAUUUCAUGGAGAGGAGAAGACCUUUGGCGGUUCAUGGAUGUUCUAUAAUAAGUUAGCAGGGAAAAUCAAUACCCAGAGAAGGGGAGAGACGUCCAUGGCACACAGGAGAGGACAGAGCCAAGAAUGAAUAUAGGACACCAGUGCCCCAACUCUUAACCACUACCAUACACGGUUUUAUAAAAAGAAGAAAUAUCACAGUGUGCAUGCACAGAAGUACGACCAUGUGAAGAGGUAGCAAGAGAGCAGCAAUCUACAAGCCAAGGAAAGAGGCCACAGAGGAAACCAACCCUGCCAGCAUCUUGAUCUUGGACUUCCAGCUUCCAGAACUAACCAGGGACCCCACUCCCAUGCCGACAGUAUGGGCUGCUGUCUUCAGGACCAUUGCAAGUGUCCUUCACGGUUCGGUUCACAUUUCACAAGCCCCAUGAAGUCUAUCUGGAUUUUCGAUGGAUGUCUUGCCUUUUCCUCUACACACUACAGGAAGAGUGGCCACCCCUGCCAAGGGCCUAGUAUAGUACCCUAUACAUGUAGCUGAUCAGUUGAUUGUUACUGAUCAUAUGUAUCCUGCAUCAUGUUAUAAAAAAUUAACACAGUGCUUGGCACAUACUUGUACUGAAUGUCAGAGCUGCAGCAUGAUCUGGAGGCUUUCCUCGCUUUCUUCUGCUUCCCCUCCCUUGAUCCUUCACAGGCAUUUUCCUCAAUACAUCUCUUGCCUGG